rfam:Branchiostoma floridae genomic scaffold BRAFLscaffold_18, whole genome shotgun sequence.
UGUAGGUAUAAGAACUCCCUCAGAACAGGCCAGCUGAAUUAUCAUAUUUCUUCCUGGUCGUAUUGAGGGAGAGAAAAACGUUUUCC